GACGAACGCUGGCGGCGUGCUUAACACAUGCAAGUCGAACGGAAAGGCCUGCUUUCCCUUGUGGAUUGCGGGUACUCGAGUGGCGAACGGGUGAGUAACACGUGAGUGAUCUGCCCCCAACUUGGGUAUAAGCCUGGGAAACUGGGUCUAAUUCCCGAUAGGACUGCAGGGUGGUGCCUGUGGUGGAAAACGAUUUUCUAGUGGUUGGGGAUGAGCUCGCGGCCUAUCAGCUUGUUGGUGGGGUAAUGGCCUACCAAGGCGGCGACGGGUAGCCGGCCUGAGAGGGUGGACGGCCACAUUGGGACUGAGAUACGGCCCAGACUCCUACGGGAGGCAGCAGUGGGGAAUAUUGCACAAUGGGAGGAAGCCUGAUGCAGCGACGCCGCGUGGGGGAUGACGGCCUUCGGGUUGUAAACUCCUUUCGACCGCGAGGAAGCCACCUGGUUGGAAGGGUGGUGACGGUAGUGGUAGAAGAAGCACCGGCUAACUACGUG
rnacentral:rRNA from 1 species